rnacentral:rRNA from 1 species
CCAGACUCCUACGGGAGGCAGCAGUGGGGAAUAUUGCACAAUGGGGGGAACCCUGAUGCAGCGACGCCGCGUGGGUGAAGGAGCACCUCGGUGCGUAAAGCCCUAUCGGCAGGGAAGAAAAGCGAACAGGUUCGCCUGGACGGUACCUGACUAAGAAGCCCCGGCUAACUACGUGCCAGCAGCCGCGGGAAUACGUAGGGGGCAAGCGUUAUCCGGAUUCACUGGGUGUAAAGGGAGCGUAGACGGCGACGCAAGUCUGGAGUGAAAGCCCGGGGCCCAACCCCGGGACUGCUCUGGAAACUGCGUCGCUGGAGUACGGGAGGGGCAGGCGGAAUUCCUGGUGUAGCGGUGAAAUGCGUAGAUAUCAGGAGGAACAUCGGUGGCGUAAGCGCUUUACUGGGCCGUAAUUGACGCUGAGGAACGAAAGCCAGGGUAGCAAAUGGGAUUAGAUACCCGUGUAU